rnacentral:rRNA from 1 species
UACGUAGGGGGCUAGCGUUAUCCGGAUUUAUUGGGUUUAAAGGGUGCGUAGGCGGAUCGUUAAGUCAGUGGUCAAAUUGAGGGGCUCAACCCCUUCCCGCCAUUGAAACUGGCGAUCUUGAGUGGAAGAGAAGUAUGCGGAAUGCGUGGUGUAGCGGUGAAAUGCAUAGAUAUCACGCAGAACCCCGAUUGCGAAGGCAGCAUGCCGGCUUCCUACUGACGCUGAAGCACGAAAGCGUGGGGAUCGAACAGG